AAAGGUUCGUAGUGACCUGCGGAGGAUCAUUAAUGAAUUUUUGAAAUGGGGUUGUAGCUGGCUUUUAAUCGAGCAUGUGCACGCCCUAUUCAUCCAUUUCUAUAUACACCUGGUGCACCUUUUGUAGGUCGGUCGUUACGGGAAAAGCCUUUCGGUUUUUUCUUACACUUCCUUCCUAUGUUUUUAUUAUAAACUCUGUGAAUGKCUAUGAAUGUCUUUGCGUAAAUAAACGCAUCAUAAUAUAACUUUCAGCAACGGAUCUCUUGGCUCUCGCAUCGAUGAAGAACGCAGCGAAAUGCGAUAAGUAAUGUGAAUUGCAGAAUUCAGUGAAUCAUCGAAUCUUUGAACGCACCUUGCGCUCCUUGGUAUUCCGAGGAGCAUGCCUGUUUGAGUGUCAUGGAAUUAUCAAACCCCUUUACUUUAUUGUAAAGUGGGCUUGGAUUUGGAGGUUUAUUGCUGGCUGCAUUAAAUUGUUGGUCAGCUCCUCUUGAAUGCAUUAGCUUUGAGCCUUUAACGGGGUCGGCUUAUCGGUGUGAUAAAUUUUAUGCCGUGGUCGGUUUCGUGAAUAAAAAUCAAGCUUCUAAUCGUCCUUCUUAAUGGGACAAUACAUUUGACCUCUGACCUCAAAUCAGGGUAGGACUACCCGCUGAACUUAAGCAUAUCAAUAACGCGGAGGAAAAGAAACUAACAAGGAUUCCCCCSUAGUAACUGCGAGGUGAAGCGGGAAAAGCUCAAAUUUAAAAUCUGGCAGUCUUUGAUUGUCCCGAGUUGU
rnacentral:rRNA from 1 species